CCUACGGGAGGCAGCAGUGGGGAAUAUUGGACAAUGGGCGAAAGCCUGAUCCAGCAAUGCCGCGUGAGUGAUGAAGGCCUUAGGGUUGUAAAGCUCUUUUACCCGGGAUGAUAAUGACAGUACCGGGAGAAUAAGCUCCGGCUAACUCCGUGCCAGCAGCCGCGGUAAUACGGAGGGAGCUAGCGUUAUUCGGAAUUACUGGGCGUAAAGCGCACGUAGGCGGCUUUGUAAGUAAGAGGUGAAAGCCUGGUGCUCAACACCAGAACUGCCUUUUAGACUGCAUCGCUUGAAUCCAGGAGAGGUGAGUGGAAUUCCGAGUGUAGAGGUGAAAUUCGUAGAUAUUCGGAAGAACACCAGUGGCGAAGGCGGCUCACUGGACUGGUAUUGACGCUGAGGUGCGAAAGCGUGGGGAGCAACAGGAUUAGAUACCCUGGUAGUCCACGCCGUAAACGAUGAUACUAGCUGUCGGGCUCUUAGAGCUCGGUGGUCGCNGCUACGCAUUAAGUUAUCCGCCGUGGGAGGUACGGCCGCGACGGUUAAACGUACGUAAGGUAAGUAGUUAGGCGUGAGAGUGCCGACGGCGACGACGAGGGAGGAGG
rnacentral:rRNA from 1 species